AGGCGGGGGCCGCAGCCGCGGUCGGUGUCGCCGUAUCGCGACAGGAACGCGCCCGCCGCGCAGCCAUGGGGAGUAGAUGGACUUUCAGGUCCCUUCCAACCCCAAGCAGUGUGGGAUUCUCCGAUCAUCAAACACCAGCAUGACCCGGCAAAAUCGACACCUUUAAAGUUUGCAGCUCGAGUCACAAGAGACAAAAAGGUGACAAAACCAACUUACAUAGCCCCAGACAGCUGAGAACAUGGCAGCUCCUCCAAGGAGGACCAUGGUUCCAUAUUUAUCGUGGAAGUUCGGCUCAUGCUUGCGAUGAGCUUGUCUGACUGCAGUGUGCUGGAUGCCACGAGCUGAGGAGCGUUCAGAAGUACAGAAAUCAACAAAAAUACAUGCUAAAACCAUUCACAAUCCUCAUCUCCCACCAACAGAGAGGCGCUAGUGUUAAAAGAUUAAAAAUGCUGGAAAAAAUAAUCUUUUGGACUUAGAACUCUGGAAUGACUCCAAAACAUGGGAUAUACACAAAUCCUUUAAUUUUUUUCAGCUCUCUCAAUUUCUCUCUAGAAAGUUAUUCCUUAUGUCUAACUCCAGUAAGAAAAAAAAAAAAUCUUCUAAGUUACCUUUUUCACUAAUAUAUUUUCUUUAGUAUUACUGUUUCUCUAAUAAAAUGUUUUGCUUAGUGCCUAGCUUUUUUGGAUUUCUACAUAUAAAUAUCUAUCCUAGCAGUGUAUGUAACCUAACAUGAGCAUUGUCAGGAUGAAGCUCACCAUCAAAUUAUGGGGUUGAAGAUAGAGGGUGUGGAAGGAAGGAAACGGAAAUAACCUGCGGGCAUGAGACAAAUAAUAGAGAAAAAAAUACACAAUGAUAUCUGCAGAUGAUGUACAUUAUAAAUGUACACUAUAAAAGGUACACUUAUUAAAGAGAAGACAACAGUAAAAAAUCAAAGCAAUAGCUACAAAACACAAACUGCCCGGUAGCUGUGUACAAAGCAUUUGAUGAGAAGGUGAUGUGCGCAUAAAGAUAUUACAAAAUAAAACCUUUUAGUCUCAGGUCAAUGGUUUGCAGUUCUAUGCAACCAUGACUAGAGAAGAUGAUGGUGAUACCCAUAAUGUUACUACAUCAUUCGCAUGCUCUGUGAGGCUGCACAAGGCGUUUUUUUAGACAUAAAAAAGCCAGAAUAUCUACCAAGACAGGUUUACUUUAGGUGCCCGCACCUCGGGAUAAGCACAUCGUGACCCAGGACCAGAGGAACACUGCGGGGUCUGUAUCACUGAAGGGGUAACUUUAACCUUGAGUUUAAGGGCUGGCUAUUGACUACACCUUGUCACCGCAGGUUACCAGACCAGAAUGUGCCUUUAGAUACUAGGGGGAAAAAAGCACCAAGGAAAGGAGUCCUAGGUCAAAAAGCAACUAGGAGAUAAAAAAGGCUGGAAGAAAGAAAAAAAGCGGGAGGAGAAGGACGCCAGAGCCGCCCGCAGCCCCCGAGGUGCCCUCACGACCCUCCCCGGGUGCAGAGCGAGCCGGGGGCUGUGAGGGACAGUCCGCACAGGGUAGGGCACAAACCGGGGGUGACCCCCUGAGGAACCCCCCCACAGCCCGAGAGCCGCCCCUAUCCUUACCGACGAGGCUCUGCGCGGCCCUGGCCACCGGGAACAUGAUGAGAGCCAAGCG